AGGGCCCCUGAUGCAACUGGCAGUUGAACCAUAAAGAAGAAAAUGAAGUGAAUUUACAGAAAAUAUCUGUGUGGGGGGGGAGGGGCGGGGGGGGGGAACUGUGAUAAAUAGGAACAGCUUACGGGACAGGAAGAGGGUAGGAAUAAGUUCCCAAAUAGGUCUUACCUGACUUCAUGAUGGCCCUCUGCCCCAAAAUACCGUUCACCAAAUGGCCUGAGUUUUUCUCAUAAAUUUGUUAUGCUGCCUGAAAAUACACUAUAUGGAAAUGUGUUUAGAUUAAUAAGUAUUUUCUUUCUAUGUAUCUCUAGAAGGGUGGGAGUUUGGGUUCUGGUGGAGAGGGUAGGUCACUAUGUGAGGCCUAACAGAUUUCA
rnacentral:lncRNA from 1 species